AUCUGGGCGGCGGAAUUCAGGAUGGCUGGCGCGUCUUCGCGGCGCGUCGGUCGUUUGAUAUUUCCGUCGCCGAUACGCAGACGUCGCGACCUGUUCGCGGUCGGUCCCUGCUCGGAGGAGCCGCGUUCGAGUUCGUUGCGUGGCGCGUUUCGGCGUGUCACGCGGCGAAGGCGCGGAUCUCUGGCUGGCCGUCGGACAGUAUGCUUAACGGUGUCCGGUGUCGCCUCGCGCGUGCACCGGUACCGGUCAGCGACGAAUUCUUCGGGCCUCUUUCCGACCCGUCUUGAAACACGGACCAAGGAGUCUAACAUGCGCGCGAGUCGCGGGGUGUCGAGCGUACUUCGGUGCGUUCGUUACGUUUGCGAAACCCGUACAUGUCGAAGGCGUAAUGAAAGUGAAUGGGGAAGAUGGUGUUCCGAGUACACGUUCCGCGAUCGUCGGUAUCGCGGCCGGACACCCGCAUUCCCGGGGCGUCUCAACGGCCCGUCGCUGACGCGGACAGUCGUCUCUCGGGGCGGCUGUCGGUCGGCGAUGAACCGA
rnacentral:rRNA from 1 species